rnacentral:misc_RNA from 1 species
UACGUAGGGUCCAAGCGUUAUCCGGAAUCAUUGGGCGUAAAGAGCUCGUAGGCGGCCCGUGGCAAGCGUGCGGUGAAAGCCCGGGGCUCAACUCCGGGUCGGCCGUGCGAACUGCCGGGCUCGAGCACGGUAGAGGCAGGUGGAAUUCCGGGUGUAGCGGUGGAAUGCGUAGAGAUCCGGAAGAACACCGGUGGCGAAGGCGGCCUGCUGGGCCGUGGCUGACGCUGAGGCGCGACAGCGUGGGGAGCAAACAGG